UAUUAUUAUUAUUAUUAUUAUGGGCUUUUCCAUCAUUGAUAUUUACAUAAGAUCUUGUCAUACUGUGUUCUGGUUACAUUUUAUUACUGCUACAUGAAACAUAGCAGUUUUUUGGAAAUGUGAAACAUAAUGACCACUUUAAUUUCCUUAAUUAUCUGCCCUGCAUUUUGUUUUAUUUGGGACUAAAUUACAACUGGAAUAGCUAUCUCCCCUAGUGUUUACCUGUCACUGUUCUAAAUAAACCUAGUAUUUUGAUCUUGCAUCAUUGUGUUUCUUUCCUAUGAUUGAUAGCUUUAGCUUUCAUAACCAUCUAAUCCUUUGGAGAAGCUACCAUAAGUUUUUGGUAGCAUUUCAGAGUCAUAUGUAUUUUAUUGCGUUGUUUGACUUUUAAGAAUCUUCUAUGCACAAUAAUGUACUUCCUGUGGUUUGCAAUAUAGGUUCUCAGCAGGAUAUCAGUCCU
rnacentral:misc_RNA from 1 species